AUUGAACGCUGGCGGCAUGCCUUACACAUGCAAGUCGAACGGCAGCACGGGAGCAAUCCUGGUGGCGAGUGGCGAACGGGUGAGUAAAGUAUCGGAACGUGCCCAGUCGUGGGGGAUAACGUAGCGAAAGUUACGCUAAUACCGCAUACGAUCUAUGGAUGAAAGCGGGGGAUCGCAAGACCUUGCGCGAUUGGAGCGGCCGAUAUCAGAUUAGGUAGUUGGUGGGGUAAAGGCUCACCAAGCCGACGAUCUGUAGCUGGUCUGAGAGGACGACCAGCCACACUGGGACUGAGACACGGCCCAGACUCCUACGGGAGGCAGCAGUGGGGAAUUUUAGACAAUGGGCGCAAGCCUGAUCCAGCCAUGCCGCGUGCAGGAUGAAGGCCUUCGGGUUGUAAACUGCUUUUGUACGGAACGAAAAGGUUUGGCCUAAUACGCUGAACUCAUGACGGUACCGUAAGAAUAAGCACCGGCUAACUACGUGCCAGCCGCCGCCGUAACAC
rnacentral:rRNA from 1 species